CCUGCCCACUGAUAUAGGUUUAAUGGCCGCGGUAUUAUGACCGUGCAAAGGUAGCAUAAUCAUUAGUCUUUUAAUUUAAGACUUGAAUGAAUGGUUGGACAAAAGAAAAACUGUCUUCUUUAAUAAAAAUUGAAUUUAACUUUUAAGUGAGAAGGCUUAAAUAUUUCAAAGGGACGAUAAGACCCUAUAAAGCUUUAUAAAAAAUAAAAGUUAGGUUGAUAUUUAUUUAUUAAAAAUUAAGGUUUAUAUUUUAUUAGGUUGGGGCAACAGAGGUAUAAUUAUAAAUAACUGCUUUAUUUAUAAACAAAUAUAUUUGUAUUUAAGUUAAUUGAUCCUUAUUUAAAGAUUUAAAGAUUAAGUUACUUUAGGGAUAACAGCGUUAUUUUUUUUGAGAGUUCUUAUCAAAAAAAGAGUUUGCGACCUCGAUGUUGAAUUAAAAUUUCUAUAUAGUGCAGUUGUUAUAUAAG
rnacentral:rRNA from 1 species